rnacentral:lncRNA from 1 species
AGACUGAAGGUGGGGAUUAGAGGCGGUCGGCGAUGGCUGGUUGUUGUCGUCCGUCCGACACAGAGUGAGAGAAAGAGAGGUAGGGGCCGGGCACGCGGCGGUGGUUAGCUCCGCUAGCCACUGUGGCCGCCGGACUUCGGAGAGAUGCAGCGGCGUUCUCAGUUUGUGGGAGUGUGUGCGUGCUCGUUCGGUGAGCGAGGAACGAGAGAGAGGACGAGGUAGAGGGGUUUAAGGAUCGAGCGGCCGGCGGCCGGCGACUCUACCGCCGCCGGAGAAGGAAGAAAAGGGGGGGAAGGCGUGCUGCUGCGCGCAGCUUUGUGUGUGUGAGUAUAUGCGUGUGAUUGUGUGUGUGAGGGUGUUAAAUGAUG